rnacentral:miRNA from 1 species
AACUGACCCCUAGCACUGACGACA